GGGGGUAUAGUAUAGCGGUAUUACACUGUGUUUGCAUCACUGUGAUGGGCGUUCGACUCGCCCUACCUCCA